GUGUCAGCCGCCGCGGUAAGACGAACUGUGCAAACGUUAUUCGGAAUCACUGGGCUUAAAGGGUGCGUAGGCGGUCUUGUAAGUAGGGUGUGAAAGCCCCCGGCUCAACCGGGGAACUGCGUCCUAAACUGCGAGGCUAGAGUGAGGUAGGGGUGUGUGGAACUUCCAGUGGAGCGGUGAAAUGUGUUGAUAUUGGAAGGAACGCCGGUGGCGAAAGCGACACACUGGACCUUGUCUGACGCUGAGGCACGAAAGCCAGGGGAGCAAACGGGAUUAGAAACCCCCGUAGUCC
rnacentral:rRNA from 1 species